UACGGAGGGUGCAAGCGUUAUCCGGAAUCAUUGGGUUUAAAGGGUCCGUAGGUGGAUAAUUAAGUCAGAGGUGAAAUCUUGCAGCUCAACUGUAAAAUUGCCUUUGAUACUGGUUAUCUUGAGUUGUAUUGAAGUAGGCGGAAUAUGUAGUGUAGCGGUGAAAUGCAUAGAUAUUACAUAGAACACCAAUUGCGAAGGCAGUCUACUACGUAUAUACUGACGCUCAUGGACGAAAGCGUGGGGAGCGAACAGG
rnacentral:rRNA from 1 species